UAUUAUUAUUAUUAUUAUUAUUAUUAUUAUUAUUUUCUGCAGAGAAAGUGUUCCUUUUGUACACAGAAAAGCCUGUGUUUUGUGCAAAACAACCAGGGGCUACUUCUUGCACCAAAUAACUCCCGAACGGCAAAGAACCAUUCCAAAAUCCUGAAGUUUCCCAAGGCUGCCUUGCACGAGAAUGAAAACGUCUAAAGUGACUCUUGCCUCCCUUUGAGAGCUUUAUUCUAUGAUUCUACGAGAGGAAAACAAGUCAAGAUCUGGAUCCUUGUCUGAUGCAAGAGCCAUUCCUCUCCUGCGUAUCCGAGAGUGUGCCCAUCUCUCUUGGCUGGCCCAAUAAAGGCAUUACGCUAAUAUGGAUUAUGUCCAUUUAAUCAAUCUGCGAGGCCUGCCCGUCCUUCUGCAUUGGGCUCCUCAUUCCCAGCGUGUUCCCACCACGUCCCCUGCUCAAAUACCGUGACGUCUGCCCUGUUAAUGUGGGCUUACGGAGAUCAAGCGCUGCAUCUGGCCAUUCAUCCCGCUGAUAAUCCCACUCCAGGCCAGUAAUUUAAUCAGAGCCAUGAUGGAGGGUCUGGGAUUAGGAGGAAAUGAUGCGCAGCCGCCCCGGGGUGCAUCUGGCGCAUUGGAAGGCUUGCAGGCGCACCUGCUUCGUGCCGGAGUUUCGGAGAAAUGAACGCCCGGGAAAUAUUGCCCUUUUCUCCAUUUGGUACUUUGGGAAAAUAUGCUUUUCUGGUGGGAUCAGCCAGUGGUUUUUUUAUAUGCACAAACCACAUAUACAGUAGAUCCAACAUAAACUGGCCAGCAGAACGUUGGAUAAGCAAAUAUGUUGGAUAAUAAGGAGGGAUUAAGGAAAAGCCUAUUAUUUAUUUAUUUUAUUUAUUACAAUAUUUAUAUCUCGCCCUUCUCACCCAACAGGGGACUCAGGGUGGCUUACAAUAAAACACAUAUAAAAAAAUUGUACAAUGCACUAUAAAACAGUUAAAAAUUAUUAACUUACAUCGGACAUUCAUAAAACACAUUCUAAAAUACAGAUGGGCGUGUUCAAUUUUAAACAUCAAAUUAUGAUUUUACAAAUUAAACACCAAAACAUCAUGUUUUACAACAAAUUGACAGAAAAAGCAGUUCAAUGCACACUAAAGUUAUGAAGUAACUAAUUACUGUAUUUACGAAUUUAGCACCAAAACAUUGCAACAUUUACUACAAAAACAUUGACUACUAAAAGGCAGACUGCAUUGGAUAAUGCAGAACACUGGAUAUGCAAAGGUUGGAUAAGCAAGACUCUAGUGUAGUUGAAAGAGACCCCCAAAGGCCAUUCCAGGCAGGAAGACACCCUCAAAGCCCUCCCGAUAGAUGGCCAUCAGCCACUAUAUGACAAACCUCUGCAGAUGGAGACCCCAAUGCAUUCCCAGGCAGCAGAAGUUUCCACUGUUAAACAGCUCUUGCUUUCGGGAAGUCCUUCCUAAUGCCUACUUGGAGUCUCUUUUCCUGCAUUUGGUAUCCGUGGCUCCACUGUGUCUCAGUCUCCGAAGCAUCAGCGAAGAAGCCUUGUUGCUCCUCAGUCUGACAUCCUUUCAAAUAUGUAAACAUGGCUCUCCCGUCUCCUUCUCUUCUCCAAACCAAACAGACCCUGCUUUCUCAGAUGCUCCUCAUAGGACUUGGAUUCCAGCCCUUUGGCCUUUUCGGCCGCCCUUCUCUGCAUACUUUCCGCCUUGUCCAUCUCCUUCUUGAAUGGUUUUGCCCAGAAAUGGACACAGGAUUAUAAAAUCAUAGAGUUGGAAGAGAACACAUGGGCCAUCUAGUCCAACUCCUAUUUCUGCCAUGUAGGAAAAGCACAAAGUAUCCUUGACAGAUGGCCAUUCAGCCUGUUUCAAAGCCUCCAAAGAAAGAGUCCUCACCAGACGCCGAGGCAGCGAGUUCCACUGUUGAACAGCUCAUAUGUUUUUCCUAAUGUUCAAUGGAAUCCCCCCUCCUGUCAUUUGAACUCAUGGCUCCAUUGAGUCCUAUUUUCCAGGACAACAGAAAGGAAGCCUGAUCCCUCUUCCUUCUGGCAUCCUUUCACAUAUUUAUACAUGGCCAUCAUGCCUCCUCUCCGCCUUCUCUUCUGCAGGCUAAGCAGACCCAGUUCUCUAAGACGAUUCUCAUAUGGAUUCGUGGUCUCCAGGCCUUUGAUCCCUUGAGUCUUCCUCUUCCUCUUGACACCUUCCAGGUUAGAGUCAAUCUCUCUCUUGAACUAUGGGGCCCAGAAUUGGACACAGUGUGAUUCCAGGUAAAGCGGUCGGAUCAAAGCAGAAGAGAGAGGCACCAUGUCCUGUUUUGUCUUUCAAGAACAGCCUUAAAACACUGUGGCUUUUUUUGCUGCAGCAUCACACUCUUGGCUCGUGCUCAGCUUGUGGUCUCCUAGUGUUGCACCUUAGCACUGGUUCACCUUGCUCUUAACACACAUUCCACCAGAACAGACUUGGUUUUUGUUAAUGUGUGAUUUGUGUAUUGGUAGUGUUUAAAUGAAAUUUGUGUCUUGUCUGUAUUGCAUACUGAUUGCAUCAUCCAGAGUAUAACAUAGUCUGGAAAGAGUUAAUUACUAAGAAGCUGUAAUGACCUUGAUGUGCGGCUGGAACUGGGGAGUGUCCAGACACAAGUGUUUGUGCAUUACUGAUUGCAUCAGUUCAGUUCUGAGUUGAGUUGAGUUCUGCCUGCCUAGAGUGAAAGUCAAGUCCUGUGUUUGUUUGCAAGUCUGUGAUUAUUACUGCUUGCAGUAAAGCUUGUAAAUAGUUUUACCAAAGUCUCUGGGUGCCACUUCGUUCUGCGUUCCGCUGAUUCCAUCCAACUACUGCUGCACUGCAAUUACUCUGACAGUUUUUACAGUUUAUUGAUAAAAGAUAGCAAAGUCUUAAUAAAAAUCAGUAAAGAAAGCAGUAAUCCAAUUGUAAAGGCAUUCUGCAGAAUAUAGUUCAAAGUCUCUGUAGAAUAUAGCAAUUCAGUCCUGAAAAACAAGGCAGUGUGAACUCCAAAAUGCAAUCCAAAACCCAGGAACUAAGCAUGAACAAAAACAAGAAGCCUUUUCCAUGAGCAGAGACAAGGCAAGAGUUAAGCUUCCAAAACCAACGUUGCUUCGACUGAAAUCUUUCCCUGUUUCUCUCUAUUUAACCAUGCUUACAGGCUAAGAAAGCAUUUCUCUGUCCUUGAAUUCCCACACGUUUCCCAGCUAUUCUCAGAGAAUGCCUGGGACAAUGAACCCUUAACCUUAACCUUGUAUCUUGAUCUAAAGAAGACUCCUCUGGCUCGCUGCCAGAACCACCUGGACUUUGUUGAUGUUCAAAAUCCUGCGAAAGGUCACUCUUAUCACUAACUUCAACUUCCCUGCUAGCCCGCGGCCUUUCUAACAAUUCAGAGCUUUCAAUAUUUCCUUGGUCAACCUGCUGAAACCCAAAUCCCCCUUCAUCAUCAGACUGAACCACAACACCUAAGACUUUCAGAUCCCUUCUGCUUAUAUUGUUCUUAAGCCAAAUGCCACUCAUUUGCAUUUCAUUUGCACUCUGUGCAUUUCAUUUUCAAGGUUUGACUUGCCCAGUGUGACUUUCCUGUCUGAACGGGGAUUUGAACCCUGGACUCAAACCAUCACGCAUCACUCACUCUCCCCAAAUGCCUCACCCAACUACCAAUCAAUAGCCAUAUUUUAAAACCUGGCUUUGAUAUCAUCCUCUCUCCCCGACCCAAGUCUGACGCAUUUGCAAAAUACUACCCUGUCAAUCCUCUAAACUAAUAAAUUAUCGAUUUUCUAAUUUUAUUAAUAGCAGUAAUUGUCAUAUCCUUUUGGGUCUGAAUGCCUAAAGGAAAGAUAGGAGUAGAAUAAAAAAGAGUCUGCAUUUCCUCUUCAUCGCCUUAGAAAAGCAGUGAUUGCUGUGCAUCCGCUUGGACUGGGUUACUCUUUCUAAGGAUUUGGGAUUCCCCGAAUCUGAUUCCAGAUGGAUAAUCUUCAAAUGGAGAAGGAACAAGCUCUGUCUCUCUCCAGGAAUGGCCACCCUGCCAGAAUCUCUCCCAAAGAAGCUGGCAGAUCCUCCAGGAAGUCCCCCAAAAACCCUGGAGAGACAUCCAAGGACUUGGAGGCCUUGAGAAAGAUGGAACGAGAGUAAUUUUGUUAAUGGGAGGAUGACCAAGAGGAAAACACUCUGCUCUCGAACAAGAAACGCCCGCCUGACAUUUGGCCAGGAGAACAUAGAUGUUCCUCAAGACUUCUGGAGCAAUGCUUUCUUUGUAGACAAGCCAAAGGGAGAGUUUUCUAGACUCAAUGAGACACAUCAUGGAAUGAUAGAGUUGGAAGAAACCUCAAAGGCCAUCUAGCCCAACCCAUCUCUCAACAGAUGGUCCUACAGCCUCUGCUUAAAAGCCUCCAAAGAAGCCUCCAAAGGUUGAAGAAGAAUUUGUCAGAGUAAUUCGCAGCGUAGCAGCAGUUGUAUGUUGUCAAUGGAGCACAGAACGAAGAGACAUCAGAAACGAUGUUAAAAAAAUAUAUACAAAGUUUUACUAUACAAGACAAAACAGAAUUGCAGAUGAACACAGGCUUGGCUUUCACUCUAGGCAGACACAAACUCAGAACUGACGCAAUCAGUAAUGUACAAACACACUUGAGUCUGGAUACUCCCCAAGGUUCCAGCCACACAUCAAGGUCAACACAGCUUCUCAGUCAUUAACCCUUUACAGACUAUAGCAUACUCUGGAUGAUGCAACCUGUAUGCAAUACAUGCCAGACACAAAUUUCAUUUAAACACUACCAAUACACAAAUCCCACAUUAACAGAAUUACAUUACAACAACAACAUUAGUUGGUUUGGGAUACUUUCAGCCUGCUUUGCUGGUUUGCUUGCUGUUGUUCACACACAGCCUUCCUAUAUUUUGCAGAUUCAAACCAAGACACAUGGGGCAAAGUAAGAUGAGAGGGAGGUCUGUGGACAUGAUGGCACAUGGCACCAGUAACACAUCUGUGUGACAUGAUAGGAAGGGCCAGCAUGGUGUAAGUGUCAGUGCAUUGGACUAGGAGACCAGGGUUCAAACCCUUGCAAUGCUCAGCUAUGGAAAUCUGUGUGGUGAUCUUGGGAAAGUUACACUCUCUCAGCCCCAGAGGAACACAAGGCAAAUCCCUUCUGAAUAAAUCUUGCAGUGGAAACUCUAUAUAAGCUGGAAAUUGCAUGAAAAGCACACAGCAAGAGCAUCACAUGAACAUGAUAGUGAUGUGUCACAGCAUCAUAUUUUGUGACAGAACCUUGACUCUGUAUUGUCAAAGGCUUUCAUGGCCAGAAUCACUGAGUUGCUAUGAGUUUUUCAGGCUGUAUGGCCAUGUUCCAGUAGCAUUCGCUCAUGACGUUUCACCUGCAUCUGUGGCAAGCAUCCUCAGAGCUCUUUUGGAGAUGAGGCAAGUAAAGUGCAUAUCUGCAGAAUAAUGUGAUGAAGGUGUAUUGGGAAAAUAUAAUACUUGUAUUGGAAACUAUAUAUUGAAUGUAAUCAUAUUAGAAAUAGGAAUAGGAAAAUAUGUAAUCACCAGCAGAUUGUGUGCAUAUAGCCUCAAAAAUACAUUCUACCUAGCAAAUAACCAUCUCCCCAUGAGCAGAGACCAAAGUUCACCCUAAGUGCCAGAGACAUAUGUCAAGUGUCAACAAGAAUAGAUAAAGCUCCAUGCUAAUGGUUUAAAGACAAAUUAAGGCUUUUGGGAUGUCAAGAUAAGACCUGGCGCCAUGUAGGAGUGCUAAUGGCUCCCUAAAAGCUAGGAUAAAGGGGAAUUCCUCAAUUAAUGGGAACCCCUGAAAGCCUAGAUAGGAAUUCCUUAGAUAAGGCCUAAUGGAGAGUCAGAGGUCUUGAAAGUAGCCUAUAUUUUAGGAAAAUGCAAAAGUAGCUUUUAGUAAAGUGCAAAGUGAGACCUUUUUGACACUAAUUGGUGAUGGAUAAUGCCUAUAUGACAUAGGUAGAUGGAGGGAAAAUGGUAUAAAAGAACCUGUGUUUCUUUGUUCUGUACCUUCGCUUUCCUGAUUACAGAAGAAGGUCCUUCUUAUUGCUUAUUCUCUCUGGCCACUGAGAAUAAACGUCUUUUUCUACAGCAACCGGAACUCUCUUUGUCUCAUUACCUCAAACCUUUGUCUGCCAUUUCAAAUGUACAUAGUGGGAAAAAUAACUCUUGUCUGUUUAAAGCAAGUGUACAUGUUGCAACAGGAAAGCUUGAAUUAGCAUUGAGUAGCCAUGAAGUUUGCAAGGUGAGGGGAUCUGCAUAGACGUAGCCUGGCCUCUGUUGUCUGGAGACAUCUUCUGUUUGAGAGGUGUUAAUUGGUCUUUGAUUGUUUGCUUUGUGGAGUUCUCCUGUUUCUGGGUAAUGUUCUUUAUUUACUGUCUUGAUUCUAGUGUUUUUUUAAUACUGGGAAACAGAUUUUGUUCAUUUUCAUGGUUUCCUCCUUUCUGUGUUGUCGAAAUCCAUAAGCAUGUGGACAAUUUCAAUCGAUAUAUAGGUAUAUAUACACACUCCACUUGCCUCACCCCCAACAGACCUCUGAGGAUGCCUGCCACAGACGCAGGUGAAACAUCAGGAGAGAUGCUACCGGAACAUGGCCAUACAUCCCACAAAACUCACAGCAACCCAUUUUUAUAUCUCUCUUUUAAGACUAAAAACAUCCUCAUAAGGAGGUGGUUGUUGUAGCCCAGCCUGAGAUUGGCCCCAUUCAACCAGUGGUUGUCCCUGCACCUGCUUUGCCAGAAGACUCUGGGUUCGGGCCUGAGAUUCUGGGACCAGAGACAGAAUGGUUGCAAGCAGGCAUUGUGAACCACAUUCCUCUCAGCAGUCAAGGUCAGGUCUCCAGGUGCCAGGUGGACAUUCUAGUUUGGAUGUGGGAGCUGAGACUCUGGAGCGGGAUAAUGAGUUUGACAGGAAGGCAGCAAUAACUCACCGGAGGAGGGAACGAGAAUCUUUGCAAAGAAGCAGGCGGUUGCUUUUGAAGCAAUCUAAUGAGCAAUUUUCUCAUGGGAGAAAGGCCUUGGAUUUCUCUUAAAAUGCUUUGCUUCCCUUGCCACAGCCAGAGGUGGUAACAUUGCUUAUUCAAGAAAGAAGGAUCUUUGUUCUGUGUUCCUGUGUAUUUCCUGCAUCCGUGUAUUUUGUUUCAAGUUCCAGCCUCGCUUUGGCCUGUGAAUCCAGUUGGAUAUUCCAGUGACUUUGCCGUUUGGUUUUUAUUCCAGUUAAGACCCUCGCCUUGUGUUCCUUCAUUGACUUCAUACCUUGGACUAUUUUGAAGUUAAUCCUGUACUCUAGUCUUGUUUUCCUGUGGUUAUCGUUUGACUCAUGCCUUGGAAUUAAUCCUGUUUGUUCUAUUUGUGAUACCUUUCUGGGAACCUACUUUGUUAUCCGAUUUUGGACUAUGUUUUUUGAGUGACUUUUACAGACUCUUGCUUCAUGUAUUUCAAGUACCUUGCUCUUGUGGAUUUAAACCCAUUUUAUUGACUUUGUUUUGCUUUUGCUUGCAUAUAACCUUCAAUAUGUUGUGGUAAUCUCUGAGCGGUUAGACUCAAUUUAACCCUCUCUGGGGGAGAUUCCACCAAAAUGCAGCAGAGUAGCAAAAGCAAAAGCUUUCAAAUGCAACAGGUACUUACACGGGGCGAGCAAAGAGAAACCUUUGACCAUUUAGGAUUGCAAUGGACUGCAGAGUCUCAAUAAAAGUUCAAAAAAGUAUUUAUUCAGGUAAAAAGAACUCCAUUGUAGAUAGAAAGGCUUGGGAGCUGUCUAGUCUACUCUAGACUGGUUUCUAAGGAAAAAUAAGAAAGGAAAAAUAACAAACAUCUAAAUAGUUACAUCUUGCCAGGAGAGAUGGCAGGACGUGUUGUUAGCUUGAAGAACAAAGGGAGAAGAGAGAACCAAAAUGGUUCCAACCUCAUGGUCCAGUUUAUUGGGGCCAUAAAAGACAUUCUGACCAAUGAGAAGUUAGUGUCCCUAGAGAUUCACAUUUCUACCAACUUCAAAGUAAGGGAUGUGACGUAAACAGGAUAGAGUGAAACACAGUUAAGCCUGUCUAGGCAUGCUUUGGAAACAGGGAAAGGAUUCCCUCAAUCUGACUCUAUCAUCUAUCUAACUACAUUUAAACUUGAGUAGUCCAGGAUGAUUCCCAACACAAUAAACAGCUUGCUUGUUUAUAUUCUGGGGCUCCAGUGUGGUUCUGAGGUGCCUACAUAGUCUAGGGGUGCAACCAUGGUUCUGCAUUAAUGCUUCCCACCAUUUCUUUAACCCCCCAACGACGCUCCGUUUUGGCCCCUUGCCUCUUCUCCAACUUGGCUCGUCUGGAAGGAGAGCCUUUCUUCUUGCCUCUCCUUCAUCUUCCUAACAGGCUCUUAAAUAUUUCACGAGGGCGGCUGUUAUCCACUUUUAUUGCCUCGAUGCUCAGCAGCUUACCAUCUCCGCGGCUUUCAUCUUGCCUGGCCUCAGCCUCUUAAUCCUUCCUUGCUUUCCCUCUCCACCCCUUUCCUUUCCUCUCGCCUGCUUCUUUAAUUCUCUGCUUCUGAGACCACCCAGAUCUUGGGGAGAUCUUCCCCCUGGAGCUCUGGUGCCAUUCGGAUGCUCCCUGUCUAUUCUUAUCACAAACACGCUGCCCUAUCUCCUUCACCUUCCGUUAAGAGCCUGGGUGUCGUUCUGGAUUCGCAGCUGACAAUGGAAGCUCAGGUCGCUGCUGCCAGCAAACAGGCCUUUUUCCACCUACGACAAGCGAGGCAACUGGCACCUUAUCUAUCUGAUGAGGUGCUGGGAACGGUCAUCCAGGCCACGGUCACGUCUAGGCUGGACUAUUGCAACGCCCUGUAUGUUGGCCUUCCGAUGUCCACGACCCAGAAGCUCCGUAUUGUUCAGAAUGCGGCAGCCAGGCUCCUCACAAGAACACCCAUGAAAUGCCACAUCACACCAGUGCUGCAGCAUCUGCAUUGGCUUCCAACUGAUUCCCGUGGUCUAUAUAAGAUGCUAGUUCUGACCUUUAAAACUCUUUACGGCCAGGGCCCAUCGUUCCUUAGGGACCGUCUCUCCUUCUCCCAUCAUCGGAGGUCGCAAUAACCAUCCCAACGAGACUUACUCUAUGUGCCGGGUCCUAGAGAAGUGCACUUGGAAAGGACCAGGCGCAGAGCUUUUUCUAUUUCUGCCCUGCCUUAUGGAAUGCCUUGCCGCCCCAUAUGAGAGCCAUGCGUGAGUUGGGGCCUUUUACCCUCGCACUCAAGACAUGGCUCUUGACUAGAGCUUUUAAUCUAUUUUAAUAUUUUUUAAUCAAUAUUUGUAUGUAUGUAUUUUUAUCCUUUACAAUUUUAUCUUGUAAAUCGCCAGAGCAUCGUGGAUGGAGGGCGAUUAAUAAGUAAUUUAAAUUAUGAUGAUGAUGAUAAUGAUGAUGAUAAGAAUAGCCACAAAGAGGCUCUGGCUUCGGAUACCUGUAAGAAUAUUUGGUAUUUAUACAGGCCAGGCCCAAGAGGCCAGAUGGUGGGAAGCUCUGCAGAGAGCAAGCUCACAGCCGUAUUUGCGCAUGGUGUCAUGUGUGUCUCCGAUUCAUUGGCUCUUCUGUGCAAAGAAGAGAAUGGCAAGACUCUAGCUUUGGAUAGGAUUGAGAUACCAGCCCUGCUACAUCUCCCAAGUGAGAGAUGGAGGUGGAAUGGGCCUCGAAACAGAGCCGGAAGGCAAACGGGCACAACCGACCAUCACUGAGGCUAAAGCAUGGAUCCGCCCAAGCCAGCACUGCUUUCAGUCUCAUCUACUCACAGCAUUGGUCUCAACAGAUAAAUGCAUCAGAAUUUUACAGAACUCCCAUCUCCAGUGCAAUGAAUCUACAGCUCUCUGGGUUCCAUGGCACAGAGUCAUGACAGUGAAAGUGGUGUCAGACUGCAUCCAUUCUGCAGUGUAGUUACACCCCAGGUUAUCUGAAGAUUGGGUUGUUGUAUGUCUUUCGGGCUGUGUGGCCAUGUUCCAGAAGUAUUCUCUCCUGACGUUUCGCCCACAUCUAUGGCAGGCAUCCUCAGAGGUUGUGAGGUAUGGAGAAACUAAGUAAGGAAAGGAAAGAAUAUAUAUCUGUGUAGAGUCCAGGGUGUGUCAAGAGUCCUUUGUCACUGGGAGCCAGCAUUAAUGUUUCAGUUAAUCACCCUAAUUAGCAUUGGAAAUGUUUUGUCUCUUGCCUGGGGGCAUCCUUUGUUCAGUUAAGCCCUCAGAGUGUUGGUUCCCAUCUACUGUUUUGAUUUUGGAGUUUUGUAAUACUGGUAGCCAGAUUUUGUUCAUUUUCAUGGUUUCUUCCUUUCUGUUGAAGUUGUCCACAUGCUUGUGGAUUUCAGUGGCUUCUCUGUGUAAUCUGCCAUGAUAGUUGUUGGAAUGGUCUAGCAUUUUUGUGUUCUCAAAUAAUAUCCUGUGUCCAGGCUGGUUCAUCAAAUGCUCUGCUAUGGCUGAUUUCUCUGGUUGAAUUAGUCUGCAGUGCCUCUCAUGUUCUUUGACCCGUGUUUGGGCAUUUCUGCGUUUGGUGGUCCCUGUGUAGACUUGUCCACAGCUGCAUGGUAUCCGGUAGACUCCUGCAGAAGAGAGAGGAUCCCUCUUGUCCUUCGCUGACCGUAGCAUUUGUUGGAUUUUCUUGGUGGGUCUGUAGAUAGUUUGUAGGUUGUGCUUCUUCAUCAGCUUCCCUAUGCGGUCAGUGGUUCCCUUGAUGUAUGGUAAGAACACCUUUCCUCUGGGUGGAUCUUUGUCUUGACUCUCGUGCCUUGUUCUUGAAGAUUGUCAAUCUGAAGAUUGUCUUGGAGUGCAUCUACACUGUGGAAACAAUGCAGUUUGACACCACUUUAACUGUCAUGACUCCAUGCCAUGGAACCCAGGGAGCUGUAGUUUUGCAAGGCCUUUAGCCUUCUCUGCCAAAGAUCGCUGGUGUCUCGCCAAAGUACAAAUCUCAGUAUUUCACCGCAAUGAGCCAGGGCACUUCAAGCUGGGUCAAAGGGCAUCCAUUCUACACUGUAGGGACACUCUGUGAUGCAUUAAUUUGAUGUUCAAACCAUUUUUUUUGGCAUUUCAUUUAUUCCUUUUGGCAGUUUCUCCUUACAGAGCUCAGAUGGCAAACUGUUUUAUGUAGCAGACUUGUUAUUGCUGCUGUUGCUGCUGAUGUUAUUUCCUGCUGUGCUCUAUUAUUUAUUUAUUUAUUUACAGUAUUUCUAUUCCGCCUUCUCACCCCAAAGGGACUCAGGGCAGAGCACAAAACACAUGCACGGCAAACAUUCAAUGCCAAUUAUAACAAUGACCAGACAGACAACAGAUAGAGGUAUAUAUAGGCUUUCCUAUCCUUCGGCAUCUUUGGAGGCUGUGCUCUGUUCCGGCUACCAGGGGUGCUGUCGCUCCAUCUCCCUCCCAGAGAGCUUUCUUUGUUUAUAAACUUCCUCCUUUUUACUUGUAAAACGUGGAGCCUAAAUACCUGCCUGCUUUAAUGCAGUUCCUAUUUAUCUACUCACACUUGUUUUCAAACUGCUAGGUAAGUAGAAGCUGGGCUAAAGGACAGGAGCUCACCCUGACCCAGGCUUCAAACUCAACCUUCCAGUUGGCAAAAUUUGUUGCAGCUUGUGAUUAACCUGCUGUGCUAAAGCCUGGCCUCUGUUAGGACUCAGCCUGAGCCUGGGAUUGGGCUCAUUCAGCCAGCAAUUGUCCCUGGACCUGCUUUGCUAAAGGACUCUGGGUUUGGGCCUGACAUGCAGUCAGAGUUUGUCCCAGUGGAUUCUGGGACCAGAGACCGAAUGGUUGCAACCAGGCAUUUUGAACCACAUUCCUCUCCGCCAUCAAGACCAGAUCUCCAGGUGCCAGAUGGGCAUUCUUGUUUAGAGGAAGAUAAUAAGUUUGACAGGAGGGGAGCGAUAACUCAUUAAAGGAGGGAAUGAGAAUGUUUGCAGAGAAGUAAACUGCUGCUUUUGAAGCGCUCUAAUGAAUAGUUUUCUCAUGAGAGAAAGAGUUUUCUCAUGGAAGAAAGACCUUUUCCUUAAAUGCCUAGUUCUUCUCUGCCACAGCAGAGGUGGCAACACUGCAAUUCAGGAGAACACAAUUGCUCCGUGUUCCUGUAUAUUCUUGCAGCCGUGGCUUUUGCUUCAAGUUCCAGCCUUGUUUUGCCAUUGAAUCCAGUUGAAUGUUCCAGUAACUUUGCUGUUUGGAUUUCUAUUACUUUGCAUUACCUUGGAGUUUGAUGCUGCAUUCUAGUCUUGUUUUCCUGUGGUUCCAGUUGGUCUCAUGCCUUAGAAUUGAAUCUUGUUUGGUCUAUUCUUAAUGCCUUUCUUGGGACUGAGUUCGAUAUCUGGUUUGGUUCUUUGAGUGUCUUUCUUAGACUCUUGCUUUAUGAUUUUCAAGUACACUGCUCUUGUGGAUUUAAACCCAUUUUAUUGACUCUGAACUUUAUUUGCUUGUGCUUAAUUAUAACCUUCAAUAAACAGCUUGUCUGCUUAUAUUCUGGGGCUCCAGUGUGGUUUUGAGGUGCCUACGCAGCUUAGGGGUGCAAAAGCCAUGUUUUGCACACACAAAAAACCACAUGAAAAUCUGCAACAGUUGUAGCUUUAACAAGUAGUGGUGUAUCUGUACCAGGCCUGGGCCAAUUUGGGCCCUCCCUCUAGGUAUUUUGGACUUCAACUCUCAGAAUUCCCAACAGCCUCAGUCAGGUUCCUUCCUUUCAUUCCUUUCCUUCCUGUUUAAGCGGUUGAGGAGAAAAAGGAAAGGGCCUGAGGCUGUUAGGAAUUGUGGGAGUUGAAGUCCAAAGUACGAAUAUAAUAGCCCGACAAAGAAGCCAUGAGAUCAUACCUCACACACUUGGCCUUCCUUCCAAAACACCUGGGAGGAGGGCCCAAGUUGGCCCAGGUCUGGCCUGUACUGUAGAUUGAAUGCAAUUUGACCCCACUUUAUCUUCCAUGGAAGUUGUAGUUUCUCAAGGUCUUAAGCCUUCUGUGCCGAAGGGGGCUUGUAAAUCACUAAACUACAAAUGUCAAGAAAUGAUAGCAUUGAGACAAAGCCAUUAAGUGGUAUCAAACCGCAGUUUAGAUACAUCCAUCUGUGAAUUUACACCAUGCAGCACCCUAGAAGAUAAUAAUAAUAAUAAUAAUUAAAAAAAAACUUUAUUUAUACCCCGCCACCAUCUCCCCAAAGGGACUCGGGGCGGCUUACAUGGGGCCCUGCCCAGGACAAUACAGUAUAAAACAGCAUAAAAACAACAUAUCAAAAUACAAUUAACCAACACAACUGAUAAAAUAUACAGUAUAACACAAAGUCAAGAAGCAAUCUAACAGGGGCGAGCCGCAUGAACACUAAAUUAAAAAACUCGGGGUGAGAAAGGGAUCAAAUAGAAAACCUCAGGGGACAGGGACAUCAGAUAGAAAAACAGUCUAGAUCAGGGGUCCCCAAACUUUUAAAGCAGAGGGCCGGUCCCCAAUCCUUCAGACUGUUGAGGGGCCGAAUGAUCAUUUGAAGAAAAAAAAUGAACAAAUUCCUAUGCACACUGCAUAUGUUUUAUUUCUAGUGCAAAAACAACAACAACAACAACAACAACAAAAGAAAAAUACAACAUUUAAAAAUAAAAACAAUUUUAACCAACUCAAACCAAUCAGGAUUUCAAUGGGAAGUGUGGACCUGCUUCUGGCCAACAAGAUAGUCAAGUUAAUUAGGAUUAUUGUUGUUGUGUGCCUUCAAGUCAUUUCAGAUUUUGGGCGAACCUAAGUCAAAAUUUUAUUUAUUUAUUAUUUAUUUAUUUGCUACAUUUAUAUCCUGUUUUUCUCACCCCGAAGGAGACUCAGAGCGGCUUACAAUUUAUAUCUAUAUACAAUAUAUUAUAUUAUUAGCAUAGAACAAUAUUAGCAUUAUAUAUUACUACUAGCUGUGCCCGGCCACGCGUUGCUGUGGCAAAGUGGUGGUGGUAUUGGUUAAAACUUGUUGUGGAAUUUUUAUUUGACGUUAUUUGUAUUUUUUUUAAUUAAUUUUAUUGUCACUUAUCUUUUUUAUUUAUUAUAUUUUAUUAUUUUGUUGUAUUAUUUUUAGUCAUUUUAUAGUAUUUUAUUGUAUUAAUUAUUUUAGUGUUUUUUAUAAUUUUUAUUGUAUUAUUUGUAUUUAUUUUUUAUCAUUAUUUUAUUAACACUUGGCUGAGUGGGUUGCUAGGAGACCAAGUGGGUGGAGCUUAGCCUUGUAACUGGCAGCAAUUGGAUAAAAACUAUUAUUCCUCUCCCUCUAAUUAGGAAUUUAUUUUUCUUUUCUUUUUGUUGUAUCAACCUAGAGGCAUGGAUGAGGGGUUGUGAUGUCAAUUUUCGAGGUUGUGGGGUGUUUACUUUUGUUGUUUUGUCCGCUGCCCCGAUGCCAUCACUCUUUUAUAUAUAUAGAUAUUGAAUUAUACCACUAUAUUGUAAUAUUAUUAGUAAUAUUACAUGUAAUAUAUAGUAUAUAAUUAAUAUUAUUAUAUGGUAUUAUUAUUAGUAUUACAUUGUAUUACAUUAUAAUAUUUCUAUCAAUAUUAUAUGUAUAUACAAUAUUAUAUUAUUAAAACUGAUAUAAAAUAUUCUAUUAUAAAAACUGAGGGCAGGGGCCAGGUAAAUGACUUUGGAGGGCCGCAUCCGGCCCCCGGGCCUUAGUUUGGGGACCCCUGGUCUAGAGGAUUAAUGUUGAGGGGAGUAACAAAAGAGCAGAAGAUCCCUUCCAGUUAUUCAUUUUGAGAGAUGAAGGUAAGAUCCAACAAUCCCACUGGUCUCAGACAACCAUUCCCUUCCUCUGCAGCUUCUGGGGUGGAAGUGUCUGCUUUGUUGCUCCGUAAAACGGCCCCUUCUGCUGCUUUCUGAGCGGUGCCCCUGAACGGAGCCCUUUCCUGGCUUGCACACCUGGCGCAGGAGCAACCGUGCAGGCUCCAAAGGGUGGGAACCCCUCCCGGCACAGAGCACACCUGCUCCUGAUAACCGAAACCCCGGCUUUUAAAUUAAUUUAAAAACGCAGCGGAGAGUUCCGUAGAUCGCUCACCAAAGGAACGGAACGGGACCGCAGCAGACUAUUAUUAGGAGAUCUUUUUAUUUCACUUUCCCCUUCCCUGAACUAUGUAACAAAAUCCCCCAAUAAAAGUAGCAUUUAUUUUAACAAUAACACUCUCUAUCUGGUUAUUUUGUAUCUUUUUCUGACUCCUUCCUUUGCCUGCAAUUUCUCUCUCUCUCGCGUCCCUUUAACUCCGGCUGAGGUUCUCCGCCAUGGAUUAACAUGGCGGACGAUAUAAAUUGGCUCAUAUCUUUAUCAAAAUUACCCCUAGAACACUCCUCUUUUAGACCUAACCCUUUCUAAGGCUCCUGACUCGAAGACAACCAGCGGAACCGGAAUCGGUCCAGUUUUCGGCACCUCAACAGCUGACUGUCAAACGGGACCGACGGCUCCUUUCAAGCCAAACUGCUGCCUUAUCCCGGACUUUCCUCUCCCCGCGGCCCGCGGAAUGGUUUUAAGAGAUCCCUAGCCCCUUUCUGUGUACUGGGGAUGGGGGAAUCGCUCUCUCGCGGGGGAGACAUGGAUCUCCAAGUACCCUCACCCUCUUUGCAGCUGCCAGGGGGUGCCCGGACGGGUGCCCUCCACGUUUCAUUCAUACCUUCAUGAUUUUAUGAAGGAGAAGAACACUCUUCCCCAGACCUACCCCUGGACUUAUGAAAUCCUAUACUUCCAAAGACUGCAACCCACAUGUGCCCCUUCCCCAUGCCAUUUCUAUGAAUUCCUUAUGAACUCUUUUCCCUCAUGUAUUUGUGAAUUUUCAUAUUCUAUGUACCUGGACACCCUCAUGACCCACUGUUGUAUGAAUUUCUAAUCGUUGGGCUAACUUCAUGAAUUGUGAAAUCAUGCUGCUAGAACUCCACUCUUAUGAAUUUCCAUAUUGGGUUCCCCAGAUGUUGUAAACCUCAUUCUUAUCAAAUGUUUUCAAUUGAUUAUAUCAUCCAUGGUCCCCCUUUGUGCAAUGUAACCCCCCCUCUAUGGAUUCUCCCUUUCCUCCUUGAAAUCUACCUAUCUGCCUAUAUGUAUUUAUACUCUUUGGGAUCCCCGGAAAAUAUGUGUUUUUCCCAGCUGGGUUUAUGAUCCAACUUUAUUUUAAUUUUCAUUCUAUCCCAUAUAAUUGUCAAAUCAUGAAAUCAAAUGGGAAAUAUUAUGACCCCAACGUGAACCUUAGCCCCAUGACCCAGACCUCCCUUCCCAAAAACAAAAGGAUAAUCUGCCACAGUUUAAUCCAAUCUCAUUCCGAUCGCAUGGACAAUAUAGGGUUUGAGUCACCAGAUUCCUGAAGGUAACUCGCCCCCAAGGCAAACAUUGUCAUAUCCCAGGCCAGGGCACCUCCUGGGGAGCCCGUCAAUGACGGCUCAUCACCACCCUUCUUCACUUCCCGUCUGACACCCCAAAGACAUAUCUAAGAUCUGUGAACGUGACAGGACCCCGGACAUCCUUGAUGGGUGUCAUUAAUUCCUUUAGAAAUCGGCCGGGCCAGGAUUAAUCUGAUAUUUCCUGUCCGGUCACCUCAUUGUUUCAAUAGCUCCCGCCUCCUCCUCUCUGAUUGGCCCGAGUGGGGACAAAAAACGGCUCCCCAUUGGGCCAGCAGAGCAAGGCGGGAAACGAAAGCCCGCCUCGCUCAACCUCUCAGCCUAUCCACGAUCAGAUGGGUGGGGGAGCAGGGCGGGAAAUUCAAAGGGCUGUCAGACCGAAACAUUGUAUAAAUAUGGCUUUAUUUGAAACAUGUGUUACGCUAGUAGAUUGAAUGAUCGCUACUAGUGUCCAUUCAGCUGAAUCGCUCAAUAAAGACUCCUUGGCGGAUUUUCCUUCACCCUUGGCGGACCUUCUUCAUUUCAGGCUUCAGGUUGUAUUGCGGCUUAUAUUCUCCUUUUGGCUUCGCCAAGGUCCGUUCCCUCAGGACCGGGUCGGGUCUCUCCUUAAGGGCCCGAUCCCCUAAAAGGCGGUCGACAACACUCCCAUGCGCUCCCUGCCUCGCCCCCCCCCUUCCCCUCUGCUUGACUGUGCCGUGUUUGCAUUUGCCUGGCUGAAAGAACACAAAAGCAUGGCUGCCUGAAUAGGGAGGUGGUGGACAGUUAGUUACACAGGUGCAGGGAGUAAAGGCCGUUGGACAGUGUCUCGUAUAGCUGCCAUAUUAACCACUAUCUAUCUUGGAUUGUGCCUUCUUGCCAGGAGGAAGGGAGUUGGAUGAGAUGGACUUUAGGGGCAUCUCCCAAUUCCACGAUUCCGCGAAUCUACCCACCUAGUUUUCUAUGGUUAUGCUGCUGCUGCUCAGUCGUUUAGACAUCUCCGACUCUUGGUGACCUCCUGGACCAGUCCACACCAGAGCUCCCUGUCGGCCGUGGCUGCCCCCAGUUCCUUCAAGUUCAAACCAGUCCCUUCAAGGAUACCGUCCAUCCAUCUCGCCCUUGGUCAGCCUCUCUUCCCUUUUCCUUCCAUUUUCCCAGCAUCAUGAUCUUUUCCAAGCUUUCCUGUCUCCUCAUGAUGUGGCCAAAAUACUUCAUCUUUGCCUCUCAUCUCCUUCCCUCCAGUGAGCAGCCACUGGGCAUUAUUUCCUGGAGGAUGGACGGGUUGGAUCUUCUUGCCAAGGUCCAAGGCACGCUCAGGAUUCUCCUCCAGCACCAGAGUCCAAAAGCGUCUCUCUUCCUUCGCUCAGCCUUCCUUAUGGUCCAGCUCUCGCAUCCAUAGGUCACUAUGGGGAAUACCAUUGCUUUGACUAUGUGGACCUUCGUUGCCAGUGUGAUGUCUCUGCUCUUCACUGUUUUGUCAAGGUUGGCCAUUGCUCUCCUCCCAAGAAGGAAACAUCUUCUGAUUUCCUGGCUGCAGUCUCCAUCUGCAGUGAUCUUCGCACCUAGAAAUAUAAAGUCUGUCUAUGGUUAUAUCACCUAUCAAAUCCUUCUCUCCUUUUCUGGACAUUUUUCUACAGAGGCUAGAUGGCUGAAUCUCAGGAAGGUAAUAAUCUUUGUCAAAGGCUUUCUUGGCUGGUAUCACUGAGUUGCUGUGAGUUUUCCAGGCUGCCUGGCCAUGUUCCAGAAGCAUUCUCUCCUGACAUUUCACCUGCAUCUAUGGCAGGCAUUCUUGCACCUCAGGUUAGCUUCACCUUGUUGUAUACACCAAACUGCACACAGGUUGAAGUCUUUUUAGUUUAUUAGAAAAUAGAAGAUUUUCUUUAAAAGCAAAAGUAAAGUUCCAAAAGAUCAUUACAAAAUAAAGCCUUAGAGAAUAAUUCCAAAAAUCACGAGGAAUAAACAAGGUCCCAUUAGAGCAUGACAAAGUCCUAAGAACAUGAACACAAAAGCUGCAAGAUAAUCCAGGAAAAUGAGAGCUUGCUUCUUGGUUGAAUGAAAGUUGCUUUGACAAAGGUUUGUCUCCAAAGGCAUUGCUUUAAUAUCCUUUGCAAAGCAUGAAAGCAUUUCUCUGGCCUCUAACCUCCCUCUUGUUUGCGAUUCUCACACUCCCCCGAACCCUGAAUUCCAAACGGUCAGCUUGAUCUAAGGAACCUGUUUCGUCAAGGUCAGCCUGCUCGUUAGUAGUUUGUUGAGCCUCAUUAUCAGACUGAGAACUGUCCUCCUUUUCUAAGUCCAUUUGCACCUGGCUAGUUUCAGUAUCAUCAACACCAUUCCUUGCUGUGGGAAAAUGAACUUGCACUCUCUGUUCCUCAUCUUCUACAACAGGGACAUUUUGAACCUGAUUUUGAACCUGAAUCCCAUCAUCCUCAUCAGAGUCCAUUUGUGGUUCCAGCUGAGUCACUACAGGCAUCCUCAGAGGUUGUGAGGUCUGUUGGAAACUAGGCAAGCGAGGUUUAUAUACCUGUGGAAUGAUAGCCCGGGUGGGAGAAAGAACUCUAGUCUGCCUGAGGCAAAUGUGAAUGUUGCACUUGCCCGCCUUGAUUAGCAUUGAAUGGCUUUGCAGCUUCAAAGCCUGGCUGCUUCCUGCUUGGGGGAAUCCUUUGUUGGGAGGUGUUAACCGGCCCUGAUUGAUUCCUGUCUGGAAUUCUCCUGUUUUCAGCCAGGAAGCAGCCAGGCUUUGAAGGUGCAAGACCAUUCAAUGCUAAUCAAGCUGGCCAACUGCAACAUUCACACUUGCCUCAAACUGACAAGAGUUCUUUCCCCCACUCUGGACUUUCCACAGAUAUAUAUAAACCCCACAAUCUCUGAGGAUGCCUUCCAUAGAUGUGGGCAAAACAUCAGAAGAGAAUGCUUCUGGAAGAUGGCAAGACAAUCCGGGAAACUCACAGAAACCCAAUAAUAAAACUUUAUUUGUAACCUGCCCUAUCUCCCCAGGGAGACUCGGGGUAGUUUCCAGAGAAAAGGUGGCAAACAUUCAAUGCCAUAAAAAGCAGACGAACCAAAUACAUAAUCAAGCAAUGCAUCAAAUAAACAUCAAUGUGAACAUAUAGCAACUAAAAAAGGAAUAAAUAAUUAAAAACAGAUAGGCCUCAUCAUCCAUAGUUCCAUCAUAACAUGAUCUCAAUAAUUAAAGUGCCUUAAAAGUAUAAAAUGAUGAUGUUGUUGUUAUGUAAAGCUGAUAUACAACAGUCAGCAGCGCCAGGGUGGAUUUCCAGUAUCCUAUCCAGUCAUCCUCCGUGGCAUCCCCAUUGGACUGGAUGAUGGGAUGUUUACUUUGUUGGAAAAAGUUUAGCCUUUCAUUAGCAUAACAUUAGCAGAGUCAAAAACACAACGGAAUCAGCUGAGGUAUAAAGGUUAGGAGAGCUUGCGUAUAAAAGGGGAAACCGGCAAAAGUAGCCGAUCACAGCACACCCUUUAUCAAGCAUUAGGCAUGUAGACAAAAUGAAUUCAGCACGCCAAAUCAAAAUGCCACAUCAGGGAAUGCUGUGGAUGUAGCGUAUCUGGAUUUCAGUAAGGCCUUCGACAAAGUCCCCCACGACCUUCUGGCAAACAAACUAGUAAAAUGUGGGCUAGACAAAACUACGGUUAGGUGGAUCUGUAAUUGGCUAAGCGAACGAACCCAAAGGGUGCUCACCAAUGCGUCAUCUUCAUCAUGGAAAGAAGUGACAAGUGGAGUGCCACAAGCAGGGCUCCGUCCUGGGCCCGGUUCUGUUCAACAUCUUUAUUAACGACUUAGACGAAGGGUUAGAAGGCACGAUCAUCAAGUCUGCAGACGACACCAAACUGGGAGGGAUAGCUAACACUCCAGAAGACAGGAGCAGAAUUCAAAACGAUCUUGACAGACUAGAGAGAUGAUUGGCCGAAACUAACAAAAUGAAGUUCAACAGGGACAAAUGCAAGAUACUUCACUUCGGCAGAAAAAAUGGAAAUCAAAGAUACAGAAUGGGGGACGAUGCCUGGCUUGACAGCAGUGUGUGCGAAAAAGACCUUGGAGUCCUCGUGGGGAACAAGUUAAACAUGAGCCAACAAUGUGAUGCGGCUGCUAAAAAAGCCAAUGGGAUUCUGUCCUGCAUCAAUAGGGGAAUAGCAUCUAGAUCCAGGGAAGUCCUGCUCCCCCUUAUUCUAUUCUGCCUUGGUCAGACCACACCUGGAAUCACACUGUGUCCAAUUUUGGGCACCACAGUUGAAGGGAGAUGUUGACAAGCUGGAAAGCGUCCAGAGGAGGGCGAGUAAAAUGAUCAAGGGUCUGGAGAACAAGCCCUAUGAGGAGCGGCUUAAAGAGCUGGGCAUGUUUAGCCUGCAGAAGAGAAGGCUGAGAGGAGACAUGAUAGCCAUGUACAAAUACGUGAAGGGAAGUCAUAGGGAAGAGGGAGCAAGCUUGUUUUCUGCUGCCCUGCAGACUAGGACACAAGGGAACAAGGGCUUCAAACUACAGGAAAGGAGAUUCCACCUGAACAUCAGGAAGAACUUCCUCACUGUGAGAGCUGUUCGACAGUGGAACUCUCUCCCCGGGGCCGUGGUGGAGGCUCCUUCCUUGGAGGCUUUUAAGCAGAGGCUGGAUGGCCAUCUGUCGGGGGUGCUUUGAAUGCGAUUUCCUGCUUCUUAGCAGGGGGUUGGACUAGAUGGCCCAUGUGGUCUCUUCCAACUCUACUAUUCUAUGAUUCUAUGAUUCUAUCAAUCGGUUGAUAUGAUUUUUAAAAACCCGUUUACUCACAAAACCUUGCACAAAAGCAUCACACAGGUACAGGCAAGUUGGUUGCAGCAUAUCAAAGAUAUAGUCCAAAAGAAUAGAGAAUAAAAAGUGGAUUCCUCAGAUUCCACGUAGGCCCAAGAAGCAAGGCUUUACGCCCAUGCCGACUACAUAACCAGGAACUGGGACGGGACUGGUGGUACGAAAUUAGAACUAAAGCUGGGGAACAAAGGAGGAGACCCCUCUUUUAUAACAUUUUAAUGAGGUCAAGACAGGGGUUCCCUGCCCUCAAUCAAAUCUGACCUGCAGCAGGGAGUUCCACAGAUCCGGAAAAACUCCUGUUGAGUCAGCCAACUAUGAACUGUGUGUCCCAGCAGCAGCUUCCUAAAUGUCGGGAUCUUUUCUUCUGCUACCCUAACAUUGUAACUAAUCCCUAAUAAAAUUAUCAUUGCAUUCUAACCUUUCCCUCUCAUAGUGAUUAUUAUGUAUCUCUCAAUUGACACUUGCAUGAGAACCCUUUCCUUUCCACUAGAAACUAGUCUUCAGUAGUGAACUCUCUUCCUUCCCAGGUUGCUGGCCGGUGCUGGCAACCGACUUCAAGGGCAUUCCUUUUAACUGCGGUUACGGAGGGUCCCAGAAUCUCUGUAAGCGCAGGUCAAUGGAUCGCCACCAUUUUCACACCACAUCUUCCUGAACUAAUUUUAAGCCUAACUGCUAUCACGUUUUCUGUACUUUGGACCCCUAUGCUCUGGGAACAACCUUUUAUCCCUAUAAGAUCAAAUUUAAAAGGACGAACAGCUGAUUGUCAACUGAGCGUCUUUGCCGCUGCGCUGCCGCCUUGCUGCCGUUUCCACGGCUCAUGGAGUUCGGACUGUUGGGAAUCAUCUUGGACUGCUCAAGUCUAAAUGUAGUUAGAUAGAUGAUAGAGUUAGAUUGAGGGAAUCCUUUCCCUGUUUCCAAAGCAUGCCUAGACAGGCUUGACUGUGUUUCCCUCUAUCCUGUUUACAUCACAUCCCUUACUUUGAAGUUAGUAGAAAUGUGAAUCUCCAAGGACACUAACUUCUCAUUGGUCAGAAUGUCUUUCAUGGCCCCAAUAAACUGGACCAUGAGGUUGGAACCAUUUUGGUUCUCUCUUCUCCUUUUGUUCUUCAAGCUAACAACACGUCCUGCCAUCCUUCCUGGCAAGAUGUAACUAUUUAGAUGUUUGUUAUUUUUCCUUUCUUAUUUUUCCUUAGAAACCAGUCUAGAGUAGACUAGACAGCUCCCAAGCCUUUCUAUCUACAAUGGAGUUCUUUUUACCUGAAUAAAUACCUUUUGAACUUUUGCUGAGACUCUGCAGUCCAUUGCAAUCUUAACUGGUCAAAGGCUUCUCUUUGCUCGCCUCGUGUAAGUAACUGUGGCAUUUGAAAGCUUUUCUUUUGCUACUCUGCUGAUUUUUGGUGGAAUCUCCCCCAGAGAAGGUUAAAUUGAGUCUAACCGCUCAGAGAUUACCACAACACGGACUGCAUAAUGGACUCAAAGGGGGUCAUCCAAAGGUCUCUUCAUGCCUCAGGCAGUGAUCACAGCCACCAUCGAACCCCUUCAACUGGACUUUGGCUGACUUGGCCAUGCCUCGUGGACACUUACUGGAACCUUUCCUUUUUUUCCCUUGAAUUUCAUGCCUUCCUAUGUGGCUUAUGACAUUACACUGGACUCUUUGGGGAUGGGGGUGGGUGAAUAUGAUUUCUGAUUCUAUGAAUGUACCCCUAUAUGUUUCCCUUCCCUUUGCCCCCAUAUAUGAUAUAUGAAGAACCACCUCUGUGUGACAGGCUGCAAGGAGUUCCCCUCAUUUCCAAGGGGGGAAUAAUCCCUCCACAAAAGGACUUAAUCAAAUACCUUUGCAUGAACAACAAACAAUGGGCGUUUCCUCCUGGGUCUCGGAGCAGGACCGCCUUGGGGGGGGGGGGGGCGCCCAACUGGUAUUUUUGUCAUAUUCCAAUUUGGCCACAGGUGCAUUUGCCAUAUGCAUUAAUACAUAUAUCUUUCUGUUUAAUUGCUAUUAAUUUUUUAAAAAACAUUUCCAGGGGCGCUGAAUAAUAUUUUUUCUGGAAAGAGGGUGGUAGGCCAAAUAAGUUUGGGAACCACUGGGUUAACCAGUUAAAAUUCAUGAGUAAACCAGGGUUUUUUUUAAACCCGAAAAAAAUGGGGAGGGGGUUUGAACCCUUAACACCCCCCACCCUUGGCUACAGCUCUGGAUCUGUGCCUUUUUCCUCCCCUUUCAUGAGAUGUUCUCCAGAAGGCGCCUGGCACUCACUCUCACAGCUUCGGUGGACUCUUAAUGGGACUUUUAAGAGGAGACGUGGCUCUCCAGCACUUUGCAGGCCAUGAAGUAAGUGCAGGUGGAUGAGAUCCAGCGGCCGUUAGAGCAAGACAGAGAGAACUGCGUUGAGCACUUGCGAUGGGAGGGAUGCCAGAUGUCCAGACAAAUAUCAACAAAGUGGGACAGCGUUUCCUUUUUUCAUUCCACCAUCAAACUUUCUAUCAGAUGGACAUGAGAGAGAGAGACUUGGCUCUAAAAGCCCUUGAUUAAGUUACCUCUCAGCACCAAUUCUGAGGUUCUUACCCUUGAGACUUAUGCUUCAUGUUCAGGGCCAACCUGGACGACGUUGAGGAGUCUCAAGCACCUCCAAAUCAGUUCUUUGGCAUCAGAGGAAGACUGUGUCUUCAAACAUUGGCCAUUUGGACUGAGGCUGAGGAUUGCUCCGGCAUUCACAGCCAUUGAGAAAGAGGGACCUGGAAAAGCUUCUCAGCUGCGUAGCUCCUUGGACUUAAAACAACCAAAGACUGUAAUGUAUUUUCCUUUACCCCUUUGAAACUUCCAGCUUAUUGCCUUAAAGGGAUAACCUUUUGUGAACAAUAAAACCAGUUUUGAGUUA